CUAUCUUCUUUCAAUUUUACAUUCCCUUCUUCUCUCUCUGCAAAAUAGAAACAACUCAUUCUCUCUUUCUCCAAACAUAACUCCGCCGCCCCUUUCUUGCCGUUUCCGACCACCAGCCCAAACAGAAAAAGUACCACCACCACUAUUACCCUCUCUUUUCCCUCUUUCUUGUAGUAUAAUUUAAUUUUAGAUUAGAACAGUUUUAUAAUUUCACAUCUCCACCUUCUCUCUUAUUUUCCGGCCACCAUGGACUCCCUAAGAGAAAAAUAAACUGAUAAAUCUCUUACUCUUGUUAAUAUUUAUAAAACUCACAAAUAAAAUUCAUGAUCGGACCACCCCCUACUAGAAACCACCGUGCCGGAAUUUACUGCCACCGUGCCGGAAGUACUAUGACAGUUGUUUGGACUCCUCUACAGUUUUCUUCUCCAUCUGCUUGGGUUGAAAGUAUGAACCAGACAUGAGACUUUGUCGAGAGACAGGUUGUGCUCGCAUAACGUAAGUUGAACGUGUGGAAAACUUGCUAAGGUUAGGGCGCUCUCUAACUAUCUCAUGUAGACCGGAAAUGCCAAAUACUUGAAUGCAUGUGUAAUUGCUUUUGAUAUGAAAUUGUGAGUUGUUUGCUUGAUUGUGUGAUGCUACUUGUGUGCCCAGUUGGGGAUGUGUGUUUGUAUUAUGAUGCUAAAUUUGUGAAUGUGUUUUCAUAUGAUUUUGGAUAAAUAUAUGAAUUGAUUAUUGAGAAAUAAUGAUGUUGCAUCUGUAUAUAUAUGUGAUAUGUGUAUGCCAGGUGGGCUAUUUGAGAUGGAUCAAUUAUGACCAUGAAAUACCUAAGUUGUGAUACAUAUAUAUACUCAUGCAUUUCAUAGUUACGUGGCUACCGGAGAGGAGUCACGAGGUGCACACCGGAGAGGUGGCACGGGGUGCGUGUCCGAGAGGGAACCACCUUAUCCCGAAGUGGAUCAUUGAGUCUGAUUGAUGGGUAGAUACCUAUCACCUUAGUGGUGCUAAAUCUUGAAGCGAUACCACGACCCUUUGCGAAGGGAUUGAUAUUCCGGAAUCAUGCAUGUGAGGAACCCGGUUAGGGCGAUCACACUCAUAUAGAGUCUGCAUUGGUAGGAUAUUCGUGCAUUUGAUAUUACACUAGUUUUGAAUUGAUAUGUUGUUGAUUAUAUGUUGCUAUGUAUUGCAUAUCUCGUAUAGCGUAUUCUUGGUUUAUAUGUUGUAUUUAGAUGGUGACCCUCUACGUUAUCCAUGAUCUGGUGCUGGACGCCCAGGUUCUUUUUAGAUUGUGAGAUUCGCUGUUAUCGCGGUGGCCUGGAGUCAUAUCAGGAAAACGGCCAGUUUGGUGUUGAUAAGCGGGAGGCUUGAAGUUGUUGCGGGUCGUUGUUACCCAACCAUCUUCAGUUAGAGUCCAGUGAUCAGCUUAGGGGUUGUUGUUGGGGUCUCUUUUACUCUUCCUCAUUGUUUUCUCUGUAACUUGUAUAUGGUAAACCCUGCUUAUUUAUUUGUUGAAAUAAAUAUUGUCAUUAUGUUCUUCUAGACAA